rnacentral:rRNA from 1 species
ACGCUCGACACCUACGGAAGGCAGCGGUAGGGAAUCUUCCACAAUGGACGCAAGUCUGAUGGAGCAACGCCGCGUGAGUGAAGAAGGUUUUCGGAUCGUAAAGCUCUGUUGUUGGUGAAGAAGGAUAGAGGUAGUAACUGGCCUUUAUUUGACGGUAAUCAACCAGAAAGUCACGGCUAACUACGUGCCGGCAGCCGCGGUAAUCUGAGCGGGCUGGCAAGGC